GUGUGCUGUAUUUUCUAUCAGCUUCUGAUAAGGAUGGGGAACGCUGAAGACUCAGAAAGGAGUGACCGAGAUGAGGAAAAAGCUCUAAAUCUCCACACUGAAAGACAGUGGAGGACAGAGGAGCCUGGCAUGCUGCAGUCCAUGGGGUCACAAACGGUUUAAAGAAAUGUUACAGAGACGGGCUAUCAAGGAAUGAGGACUAUACACACAUCUCUCUGCGAUAACAGGACUCAGUAGCAACCCGAGUGGCUCCAAGUCUCAAGGAAGUUUCCACUGCCUCCCAGUUUUCUCCUGCCACGUGACUGCAGGAACUUGAAGUGGCUCCAAAGACUGAGACCAAGAUGGAGACAUGAGGACCAAAAGAGGUGACUUGUUCAAGGCCACUGUUAAUCCAUCUCUUUGCCAAUACUGGUACCCCAAUCUCAUGUCUUCCAUUUCUAAUGCUCUCUUCUUUCCCUUAAUCUAAAUCAUCUUAAUCUUUCCGAUUUCUGAAUGAACUGUGUGUCUUCUAUUACCUCUGAGCUUUUGCAGACAAGCUGUUCCAUCUGAAGGUCCACCAUCUCCCUGUAUAGUAGUGGACCCUUCACAUUUGACAAGUGACUGGUUGAGUCCUAAGAUCUUAGUGAAAACAUCAUUUCCUGUAGGAUGCUCUUCCUGACCUUCUGAGACAGAGUUACAUGUCACUCCUGUGUCUUCUACCAUCUAUGCGUGCAUGCUAAGUCACUCUUGUCAUGUGCAAUGCCGUGCAAUCUUCUGGGCU
ensembl:lncRNA